rnacentral:lncRNA from 1 species
CACACAGAGAGAGAGAGAGGCAGAGACACAGGCAGAGGGAGAAGCAGGCUCCAUGCACCGGGAGCCCGACAUGGGAUUUGAUCCCGGGUCUCCAGGAUCAUGCCCUGGGCCAAAGGCAGGCGCUAAACCGCUGCGCCACCCAGGGAUCCCAACCUUUAAACAUUUUCAAUCAGAUCAUGCCAUUCCUAGCUUAAAAUCUUAAGUGGUUUCCCAACGUACUGUAAAUAAAACCCAGACAACCUUUCACCACUGGCCUCCUUUCCUCCCCUCUUUCCUCUUAGGAGACGGUACGUGGAUUCUCUACUUUCCAAACCUUAAAAAUUCCUUAUCAUGUGCACCAUUCUAAGCACUUCUCAUAUCAUCCCACCUGGUCUCCUCAGACGCCAGGACAAUCUCCCCGUUCCAGGAACAGAAACCAAAGCAGACAGGCUGAGCAACUUGCCUGGUCAACAUCUUCCUUGAUCUUAAAGGAAAGCCCAAGCUCCUACACAGUUUUGAACAUUUGCCAGGAUGUAACUUCUGCCUGCUGUAUGUGCACCCAUCACCCUAGCUCUUCUUCUAACCUGCCACCAUCCUAACCUCUAAACCUCCCCACACACCAUACCUUCGACCUGGGACAGCACCCAGCCCUUUCCUCCCUACAGAAGGCAACUCAUCGGUCAGAAUGUUGCAUGCUGCUUGUUCAGGGGAGCCUCCCACUGGACUAGUUGCAGGCAAAGGGCAGGACGGGCCCCUCAUGUCCAGCGCUGCAUUCCAUGUAUAGGUGCUCAGUAAGCAUGAUAAAACUAGUGAGUCAGUGGGUGUUAAAGAGGUCACCUUUGCUGUAUCUCUCUCUCCCAGUGAAAUGCAGGCCCCACUAGAGCAGGGAGCUUUGUUUUAUUCACUCCUGCUUCCCUAGCACCUAAGAGUUCAUUAAAUAAUUGUAAGCACCAGUUGCUUUUAUGCCUGAUGCCCCUGCCCUGCAUGUGUCAGAACGCUACAUAGCACUCCCUACCAGGCUUCCUCCAGAGGGCUCUUCCUGCCAGAGCUGCACCAGCAGGGACGGGAAGUUACAGGUCUGCCCUCACUGUAGGACCUGUCUGCACAGCACUGUGGAAACAUCUCCUCACCUUGUUUUCUUCUAAGUAAAACUCUUUAUAAAAUAUGGAGUUCAGAGGCGCCUCAGUGGGUUAAGUGUGGGAUUCGGUUUGGGUUCAGAUCAUGACCUCACCGUGAUGAAAGUGAGCCCCGCCUCUGCCUCUGCCUGGAGCUGAGCUGGAGCUUAGGAUUCGGUCUCCCCUCUCCCUCUGCCUCUUCCUCCCUCCUGCUCACUUUGAAUUACAAAUAAGUAAUUUAAAAAAAUAAAUAAAUAAGGGCAGCCUGGGUAACUCAGAGGUUUAGCGCCGCCUUCAGCCCAGGGCCUGAUCCUGGAGUCCCGGGAUGGAGUCCCACGUCGGGCUCCCUGCAUGGAGCCUGCUUCUCGCCUGUGUCUUUGCCUCUCUUUCCUGUGUCUCUCAUGAAUAAAUAAAAUCUUAAAAAAUAAAAAUAAGAUAAAAAAUAAAAAUAUGGAAUUCGAGAUUUCCCUAAUGGUUUCAUUUGUGGGAUUCUCUCGUUUGGACUGGAGUCAAGCCGUGUGAAACCUCUGGAGAAAGCACCAGGGGAGGCCGAGGGGCAGGCAAGGCCCACGGGCAGGGCCAGCAGCUGCUAGGACUGCCUGUGUCCUUUCCCCUCUUGCAAACACGGUAAGACGCCGUCCUCACAGAGCUGGGGAGAGGGAGUGAUAGAAACGCUUGCAGGAUACCAAGACAGGCAGGGCUAGGUCAGGGGUUGUUGAGGCUACGGGCUCGCAUCCCCAGACAUGAAAAUGACGCGAAAAGGAGGCUCGGCCCCCGAAAGACAUAAUUAGCCCCAAGAACAGAACACGGCAUCCAACCUCGGCUCCUGACUCCCGGAGCUCACAGCCAAGACGGCCUUUAUCACAGGAGCGAGAGCGCAGUCCACUCCCAACAAAGCUUGGUCCUCCCUGCCGGCCCCGGGGGAAGGGGGGGCGGCAGGCCGCGAGGUCGGUGGGCAGAACUCUCCUGGCCCCGGCCCCCCGUACCCCCCUCGCACCCUCGGUGACGGUAUCCUCCGGCGGGGGCCAGGGCCACCGCCGGGGGAGAGGGAUAGUGUGUGUGGGGAGGGGGGAGUCGGGGUCCCUGGGGAUGGCGGACACCCCGGCUCGGCCCCGUACCCCCGCGACCAAAGCCCCCACGGCCCCAGCCUCGUCCUCCGCCACGGGGACCAAAAGGGCCGACCACACCUCGGUCAGGGGACCUGGGCACCGCGCGGUGACCUCUUGGUGUCCUGUGCACCGCCCGGCCCACGCCACGGCUCAGAUGAGGAAACUGAGGCUCAGAAGAGCGGUGGUUACCCCAAGGUCACCGGGGAGGCCCGGCGGGCAGGAGGGGAGGAGACGAGCCCGCAAGCCCCCUAGCCGCUCCCCAAGCUCUCGCCGCCCCCCGCCCCGCACGGGCGCCGGGGUUCGGGGCCUCCUGUCAGCACGCCACAGGCUCGCCGCCGCGUGGGCCGGGGAAGACG